rnacentral:rRNA from 14 species
UGAGAGCGGCGGACGGGUGAGUAAUGCCUAGGAAUCUGCCUGGUAGUGGGGGACAACGUUUCGAAAGGAACGCUAAUAUCAUACUUCCUACGGGAGAAAGCAGGGUACCUUCGGGCCUUGCGCUAUCAGAUGAGCCUAGGUCGGAUUAGCUAGUUGGUGGGGUAAUGGCUCACCAAGGCGACGAUCCGUAACUGGUCUGAGAGGAUGAUCAGUUACACCGGAACUGAGACACGGUCCGGACUCCUACUGGAGGCAGCAGGGGGGAAUAUUGGACAAUGGGCGC